UACAGGGGGUGCAAACGUUGCUCGGAAUUAUUGGGCGUAAAGAGCUCGUAGGCGGUUUGUCGCGUCUGCUGUGAAAACUCAGGGCUUAACCCUGAGCCUGCAGUGGGUACGGGCAGACUAGAGUGUGGUAGGGGAGAUCGGAAUUCCUGGUGUAGCGGUGGAAUGCGCAGGAUAUCAGGAGGAACACCGGUGGCGAAGGCGGAUCUCUGGGCCAUAACUGACGCUGGAGGAGCGAAGGCAUGGGGAGCGAACAGG
rnacentral:rRNA from 1 species